UACUGGCCACCAGGAAGUGAGCCUCUCCUCUGCCCCCCACGCCCUGCCAUGAUGUUCUGCCUCACACCAGCCCAAAACCAGUGGAGCUAGCCGACUGUGGACUGAGACCUCUAAAACCAUCCAUCCAGCCUGCCCCGCCUGCUCUGUGAUGGGAGGCCACCAUCUAUGGAUUCCACCAAUAGGCUCCUUUGCCUCUGGCUUCCAGUACAACCUCUUGCAGGGCUGUGUCUUAUUAUCUCAUCCAAUGGCGUCUUUGUUCUGGAAUCUUCAUAUCCGGAUCAGACCACCGCUCUGUUCUGGAUGCCACUGCCUGCCGGGGAGCAUGGCUGCGGGUCACAUAGCUCUUCCAACUCACCCUGCCCUCCCAGAACUCCUGCUAAAGGAACCCUCUUCCACUUCCAUUGGUGAUUCUGUAACCAAGGUUCACUUGAUGCUUUGACUAUAUCCCCUGUAGCUAUGAAACGUACAUUUUUUUUUCUUUUCUCCAACCUUCUUCUCCUGAUCUUCUGCUCCCUGCUCUUUUCCCUAACUUUUCCCCUAAUCUUCUCUGAUCUUCUUUUCCCUAAACUUCUCCCUGAUCUUUUCCCUGAUGUCUCCUUCCUGAUCUCAUUUUCUCCUCCCUAAUCUCAUUUUCUCUGAAUCACCUCUAGAAUCACAGCCUUUGGGACUUGAUGUGUUUCUCCUUU